rnacentral:rRNA from 1 species
UGCAGUCGAGCGGAUGACGGGAGCUUGCUCCUUGAUUCAGCGGCGGACGGGUGAGUAAUGCCUAGGAAUCUGCCUGGUAGUGGGGGACAACGUUUCGAAAGGAACGCUAAUACCGCAUACGUCCUACGGGAGAAAGCAGGGGACCUUCGGGCCUUGCGCUAUCAGAUGAGCCUAGGUCGGAUUAGCUAGUUGGUGGGGUAAUGGCUCACCAAGGCGACGAUCCGUAACUGGUCUGAGAGGAUGAUCAGUCACACUGGAACUGAGACACGGUCCAGACUCCUACGGGAGGCAGCAGUGGGGAAUAUUGGACAAUGGGCGAAAGCCUGAUCCAGCCAUGCCGCGUGUGUGAAGAAGGUCUUCGGAUUGUAAAGCACUUUAAGUUGGGAGGAAGGGCAGUAAGUUAAUACCUUGCUGUUUUGACGUUACCGACAGAAUAAACACCGGCUAACUCUGUGCCAGCAGCC